UACGGAGGGUGCAAGCGUUGUCCGGAAUCACUGGGCGUAAAGGGCGCGUAGGCGGCUCAUGAAGGCUGUGGUGAAAGUCCGGGGGCUCAACCUCGGAUCGGCCGUGGCGACUCGUGGGCUGGAGCACUGUAGAGGCGGGUGGAAUUCCGGGUGUAGCGGUGGAAUGCGUAGAGAUCCGGAAGAACACCAGUGGCGAAGGCGAGUCCCUGGACAGGUCCUGACGCUGAGGCACGAAAGCUAGGGGAGCAAACAGG
rnacentral:rRNA from 1 species